UCGCCUGAAUAACAGUGCAUGGAAUAAUAGAACAAGAUCCUGUUUCUGUUCUGUUGGUUUUUGGAAUACAGGAUAAUGAUUAAGAGGGACAGACGGGGGCAUUCGUAUUGCGGCGCUAGAGGUGAAAUUCUUGGACCGUCGCAAGACGAACUACUGCGAAAGCAUUUGCCAAGAAUGUUUUCAUUGAUCAAGAACGAAAGUUAGAGGUUCGAAGGCGAUCAGAUACCGCCCUAGUUCUAACCAUAAACGAUGCCAACCAGCGAUCCGCCUGAGUUACUCAAAUGACUCGGCGGGCAGCUUCCGGGAAACCAAAGUAUUUGGGUUCCGGGGGAAGUAUGGUUGCAAAGCUGAAACUUAAAGGAAUUGACGGAAGGGCACCACCAGGAGUGGAGCCUGCGGCUUAAUUUGACUCAACACGGGAAAACUUACCCGGCCCGGACACUGGGAGGAUUGACAGAUUGAGAGCUCUUUCUUGAUUCGGUGGAUGGUGGUGCAUGGCCGUUCUUAGUUGGUGGAGCGAUUUGUCUGGUUAAUUCCGAUAACGAACGAGACUCUAGCCUAUUAAAUAGGUGCGUGGUUCUCUGCACCUUGCACCCUUCUUAGAGGGACAAGCGGCUCCUAGCCGCACGAAACAGAGCAAUAACAGGUCUGUGAUGCCCUUAGAUGUCCGGGGCCGCACGCGCGCUACACUGAAGGAAGCAGCGUGUUUUUAUCCCUGUCUGUAAAGACUGGGUAACCCGUGGAACCUCCUUCGUGAUUGGGAUAGGGGCUUGCAAUUGUUCCCCUUGAACGAGGAAUUCCCAGUAAGCGCGAGUCAUAAGCUCGCGUUGAUUACGUCCCUGCCCUUUGUACACACCGCCCGUCGCUACUACCGAUUGAAUGAUUUAGUGAGGUCUUCGGACCGAUACCCGGAGCGGCCUUUCGGUUGCGCCGGUGUGUUGGAAAGAUGACCAAACUUGAUCAUUUAGAGGAAGUAAAGUCG
rnacentral:rRNA from 1 species